rnacentral:rRNA from 1 species
AUACGGAGGGUGCAAGCGUUGUUCGGAAUCACUGGGCGUAAAGGGCGCGCAGGCGGUUUGGUAAGUCAGAUGUGAAAACCCACGGCUCAACCGUGGAAGUGCAUUUGAAACUGUCAGACUUGAGUACUAGAGGGGAAAGUGGAAUUCCCGGUGUAGAGGUGAAAUUCGUAGAUAUCGGGAGGAAUACCGGUGGCGAAGGCGACUUUCUGGCUAGAUACUGACGCUGAGGCGCGAAAGCGUGGGGAGCAAACAGAAUUAGAAACCCCAGUAGUCC